rnacentral:rRNA from 1 species
GGACUACUGGGGUUUCUAAUCCUGUUUGCUCCCCUAGCUUUCGUCCCUCAGCGUCAGUUGCGAUCCAGCGAGCCGCUUUCGCCUCGGAUGUUCCUGCGGAUAUCUACGCAUUUCACCGCUACACCCGCAAUUCCACUCGCCUCUCUCGCACUCCAGCAUAGCAGUUUCGGCAGCGGCCUCUCAGUUAAGCCGAGAGAUUUCACUACCGACUUGCCACACCGCCUACGGACCCUUUACGCCCAGUAAUUCCGAGCAACGCUGGCCCCCUACGUUUUACCGCGGCUGCUGGCAC